rfam:Schistosoma curassoni strain Dakar, Senegal genome assembly, scaffold: SCTD_scaffold0000609
AUCCAGCUGACGAGUUCGAAAUGGGACGGAGAGCGCGUCCUGGAU